rnacentral:rRNA from 1 species
UUUUUUAUAAAAAUAAUUUAUUUAUUUAAAGUUUUAGUAUUAAUUAAAAAUUAAUUUAUAGAUUUAUAGUUUAAUAGUAUUGUGAAAGAAAUAUUUAGAUUUUAAAAAGAAUAAAUUUAGUACCUUUUGUAUCAGGGUUGAUUAAAAUUUUUAAUUUUUUUUUAAAUUCUCAAAAUUUAUAGAGUUAAUUUUAUUAUUAAUUUAUUGUAUUAUAAAUAUUUAUAAAAUAAUAUUAGUUUUGAAAUUUAAUUCGUUAUAUUAUAUUUAGUUAUUUAAGAUUUAAAUUUAAUUUAAAAUUUUAAAAGUUAUGUUGAUUUUAUUAAUUAAUAUUUUAAAUUUAAAUUAUUUUAGGGAUAAGCUUGAAAUUUUUAUAUAAUAAUUUAUUUAAUUUAAUAAUUUAUAGGAAUAGAAAUUUUUAUUUAAGUUUGUAAAAAUUUAUUAUUUAUUUUAUUUUAAUUUAUUAUAAAUUAUUUAUUUUUUAUAUUAAAUUUUAUUAAUUAAUAAUUAAUUAAUAGUAAUAAUGAUUAAAUUAGUAUAAUUAAUAUUUAUAAAUUAUGAAUUCGGCAAAAAUUAUUUUCAUCUGUUUAACAAAAACAUUGUAUUAAGUUUAAUUUAAUAUAGGAUCUGCUCAAUGAUUUAUUAAAUAGCUGCAGUAUUUUGACUGUGCAAAGGUAGCAUAAUAAUUAGUCUUUUAAUUGAGGACUUGUAUGAAAGAUUUGAUGAGAAAUAAACUUUAUUAUUUAUAUAAUUAAAAUUUUAUUUUUAAGUAAAAAAGCUUAAAUUAUUUAAAGGGACGAUAAGACCCUAUAAAACUUUAUAAAUUUUAAAUUUAAUUUUUUUGGAUUUAUAAAUAUUUUAUUUUUAAAAUUUAUUUUAUUGGGGUGAUAAAAAAAAUUAAUAAACUUUUUUUAAAAAUUAACAUUAUUUAAUGAAUUUUUGAAUUAAAAUUUUUAAUUAAAGGAAAAAGUUACUUUAGGGAUAACAGCGUAAUUAAUUUUUUAAGUUCAAAUUUAAAAAUUAGUUUGCGACCUCGAUGUUGAAUUAAGAUUAAUCUUAGGUGCAAAAUUUUCAGUGUUAGGUCUGUUCGACCUUUUAAUUCUUACAUGAUUUGAGUUCA